GCCCCUGUGGCGCAACGGAUAGCGCGCCCGGCUACGAACCGGGAGGUGUGCAGGUUCGAGUCCUGCCAGGGGUG
rnacentral:tRNA from 1 species